GAUGAACGCUGGCGGCGUGCCUAAUACAUGCAAGUCGAGCGAAUGGAUUAAGAGCUUGCUCUUAUGAAGUUAGCGGCGGACGGGUGAGUAACACGUGGGUAACCUGCCCAUAAGACUGGGAUAACUCCGGGAAACCGGGGCUAAUACCGGAUAACAUUUUGAACCGCAUGGUUCGAAAUUGAAAGGCGGCUUCGGCUGUCACUUAUGGAUGGACCCGCGUCGCAUUAGCGAGUUGGGGAGGUAACGGCUCACCAAGGCAACGAUGCGUAGCCGGCCUGAGAGGGUGAUCGGCCCCACUGGAACUGAGACACGGCCCAAACUCCUACGGGAGGCAGAAGUAGGGAAUCGUCCGCAAUGGACGAAAGUCUGACGGAGCAACGCCGCGUGAGUGAUGAAGGCUUUCGGGUCGUAAAACUCUGUUGUUAGGGAAGAACAAGUGCUAGUUGAAUAAGCUGGCACCUUGACGGUACCUAACCAGAAAGCCACGGCUAACUACGUGCCAGCAGCCGCCGUAA
rnacentral:rRNA from 1 species